rnacentral:lncRNA from 1 species
CUCUACUCCCUCCUUUUAUGGUUCUUUCCAGUCAUCACCAUGGCAACCGUCAACUGUCACAGCACCGAGGAAUGUGACAUUUAGCAUGGGGAUGGCUCAUAAUGAAAGCUAGAGGUUGUCUGGGGUCACUCAGCAGUCGCUGUAGAUCCAGCCUGUUUUGGCUGGCCCUGCUGAAAAGGAGCCUCUGGCCUACAGGCUCCUGUCCUGAAAGAUAAACCAGAUUAAGGGUGGGUAGAAAUUCAGCCAGCUCAAGUGAACAGCACAAGAUCAGGGUAGGUAAAACCAUAGCCCACAAUGUACUCUCAUCUAGAAAAAGGCUCUUUACAGGUGGAAUUAAGUGAAAAUGAAGUCAGUACCAUCAACUUCAACCCAGUAUGACUGUUGUCCUUAUAAAAAGUCCACAGGGAGAAGCAAGCCAACACCCGCCUUGGCUCCAGACUCGGGAACUCCAGGUUGUGGCCCUUCCCUGCGGCAGCCCUGGCCAGCUCACUGCUAGACAGACUUCCUGCAGCAACCGGUGCACACACCUCCUGCUUCCUGAAGGGAGGCUGCUCCCCCGGCAAACAAGGCAGCGCUUCCUGUUCCCAGUCUCUGCUUCCAGGAUGUUAGUCUUCCUCCCUCAGCUACACAAUAGCUUCCAAGGCCAACGUCCCUCCUUCCGGCCCUGCCUUUCCUCCACCCAGCACUUCAGCACCCGUCAUCAAAGGAGAUCUCAACAUCCACGGAGGGACCCAUGCAACCCCCAGGUUCAAGGUUCCUCCGCCACCAGGGCUUUCACAUCCACUCCAUCCACCCAUGUUCAGGGCCUCCCCACACCUGUGUCACCUCUUCCACCCCCCCCCAAUGGCUUUACCUGUGACACCAGGAGCACUGGCCUCAUGCCCUUUGACCUCUCUCUCUUCUCCAUCAACCAGCUCUGCCCUUCCUGCCGGUCCCAGUAGGGGACUAGCACUUCUGCCUGCCUGGCCAAGGCUCUCUCUUCCCUUCCUGGAUAUCAUCCCUGCCCUGGGGCAUCACCAGUCACCAGUUAUCUCCCCUCAGCCCUCUGUCCAUCUGCCGUCACCUCUUUCUAGCCUUUUCCCAUCAGUAUUUACUCAGCCAAAUCUAUCUCAGCUUUAAAGAGAGAGUUCUGUACACAUGAUUUUUUUUUUCUGGAAGAAAAAUAUAAGAAACUGAUUGGCCUGGGUGGUAGUUCAGUGAUAGAGUGCUUGCCUGGCAAGUGUAAGGCCCUAGGUUGGAUCCACCCCAGCCUGGAAAGAAAAAAAAGAAAAAGAAAAAGAAAAAGAGAGAGAGGGAGAGAGAGAGGGAGAGGGAGAGAAAGAAAGAAAGAAAGAAAGAAAGAAAGAAAGAAAGAAAGAAAGAAAGAAAGAAAGAAAGAAAGAGAAGGAAAGAAAAAGAAAGAAAGGAGGGAGGGAAAGAAGAGGGAAGGGGAGAGAAGGAGAGAAGGAGGAAUGGAAAGAAGGAAGAAAUAAAGAAAGGAAAGAAAGAAGAAAAAAGAAAAGAAAGAAGAGAAAGAAGAAAUUGAUCAUAAUUAUCUUUGGAGAGAGACUGAAAAGUACAGUAUUUUAUUUUUCAUUUAAUAAAUUUGCUUUAUAUAGCCUUUGACUUUUAACC